UUUGGCAAUUUCAGUGGAGAGAGUAUUUCUUCUUCUUUCCUGAAGCAAUCGUGGCUCAGCAUCAUACAGGGGAGAGGUUACCAGCACAUCACCCUGUAGUGCUUUGGUUUCUUUAGCAAAUACUGAAUGCAGGUUAGCUCUGUCAGUGGACAUGGGAGAGGUUACUAGCACUUCACCUUUGUUUUUUUUUUCUGUUAAAAAGGA